UAAUUGAAGAGUUUGAUCAUGGCUCAGAUUGAACGCUGGCGGCAGGCCUAACACAUGCAAGUCGAGCGGUAACAGGGGAAGCUUGCUUCCCGCUGACGAGCGGCGGACGGGUGAGUAAUGUAUGGGGAUCUGCCCGAUAGAGGGGGAUAACCACUGGAAACGGUGGCUAAUACCGCAUAAUCUCUUAGGAGCAAAGCAGGGGAACUUCGGUCCUUGCGCUAUCGGAUGAACCCAUAUGGGAUUAGCUAGUAGGUGGGGUAAUGGCUCACCUAGGCGACGAUCCCUAGCUGGUCUGAGAGGAUGAUCAGCCACACUGGGACUGAGACACGGCCCAGACUCCUACGGGAGGCAGCAGUGGGGAAUAUUGCACAAUGGGCGCAAGCCUGAUGCAGCCAUGCCGCGUGUAUGAAGAAGGCC
rnacentral:rRNA from 1 species